GGCUAACGCUGGCGGCGUGUCUUAGCCAUGCAAGUCGAGCGGACUUAUGGGGUAACUUAUAAGUCAGCGGCGGACGGCGGAGUAACACGUAGCUAACCUACCCUCUGGACGGGGAUAACCUACCGAAAGGUGGGCUAAUACCCGAUGUAGUCAUCCUGUAUAGGGGUGAUGAAAGGUGGGCUUCUGUUUACAAGCUCAUGCUGGAGGAGGGGGCUGCGGCCUAUCAGGUAGUUGGUAGGGUAAUAGCCUACCAAGCCGAUGACGGGUAGCCGGCCUGAGAGGGUGACCGGCCCGAGGGGCACUGAGAUACGGGUCCCACUCCUACGGGAGGCAGCAGGCUAGAAAUUUGGGCAAUGGGGGAAACCCUGACCCAGUGACGCCGCGUGCAGGAAGGAGCCCUUUCGGGGUGUAAACUGCUGUCGUGUAGGGAGAAGGGUACUAAGGUGAACAAUCUUAGUACUUGACGGUACUACAGGAGGAAGCCCAGGCUAACCUCGUGCCAGCAGCCGACGGUAAAAUAGCGUACU
rnacentral:rRNA from 1 species